rnacentral:rRNA from 1 species
AUGAAGGCCUGGUCGACGCCGGCGUCGUGGAGGUGGAAGAGUUGCUGCAGCUGGCCCUGGAAGGCGGUGACGCUCUCGGCGUCGUCGCGGGCGGCCCGGCGGCGGCGGCGCAGCCGCAGCAGGUGGCGCGCGAGCAGGUGCAGCAGGCCGCAGACGAAGAAGACGAUGGCCAGCACGGCGACGAUGAAGAGGAUGCUGGGGCUGAUCUUGGUCUCCACCGUCUCCAGCGCCGACGACCCCGCCGGCGCCGCCCACGACGAGUUGCUCAUGGUCCUUGUACUCCGCACCAACCUACUAUGA